rnacentral:rRNA from 1 species
CCUACGGGGGGCUGCAGUGGGGAAUAUUGCACAAUGGGCGCAAGCCUGAUGCAGCCAUGCCGCGUGUGUGAAGAAGGCCUUCGGGUUGUAAAGCACUUUCAGCGGGGAGGAAGGCGUUAAGGUUAAUAACCUUGGCGAUUGACGUUACCCGCAGAAGAAGCACCGGCUACUCCGUGCCAGCAGCCGCGGUAAUACGGAGGGUGCAAGCGUUAAUCGGAAUUACUGGGCGUAAAGCGCACGCAGGCGGUCUGUCAAGUCGGAUGUGAAAUCCCCGGGCUCAACCUGGGAACUGCAUUCGAAACUGGCAGGCUAGAGUCUUGUAGAGGGGGGUAGAAUUCCAGGUGUAGCGGUGAAAUGCGUAGAGAUCUGGAGGAAUACCGGUGGCGAAGGCGGCCCCCUGGACAAAGACUGACGCUCAGGUGCGAAAGCGUGGGGAGCAAACAGGAUUAGAUACCCUAGUAGUC